rnacentral:tRNA from 1 species
GCGGGUAUAGCUCAGUGGUAGAGCACUGGCCUUCCAAGCCAGCGGCACGGGUUCGAUUCCCGUUACCCGCUCCA